AGACUAAGCUUUAGUGUUUCUUCAGGUUUAAAUGUGUAGUAAGGGUGGUUUAUUAACUGCUUAGAAUCUGUGAAAGUGCACAAUUGUGGGAAAAUAGAACAAAGCCACCGCACGUAGCUUCUCGGGAUCCUCCAAACUGUCCACUGAAAAAGUUUUAGUAAAUGACCACCAUUUUACUGAGAUUAUAUUUCGUCACAUAUCAUCGUUUGUAAAUUUAAUUUGUUUUUAAUCAUUUAUGGUUAUGUCGCGAUUAGUUUCCUUCGUUUUUUUAUUAUUCAUAAACUGUAAAUAAAUAAAACGGCGAAUUAUAAAAACCUCAUUACUUGACGCUGGCUAAUGUACAAGCCGUGCCGGAGCCAAAAAAUGAAGAAGAAGAAUCAUAGAAAUAAAUUUUAAUAAAUAAACACAAUAUCCUUUGCACACUAUUGCACAGUAACAUUCAAAAUGACGACUUUGACGCCAACUGCUGUACCCGGAAUUCGGUGAUUACACUGUCCGAAAAAACCGAGAUCCAGAUCCAAAAAACUGAUUUUCUCUACAUCUAACAUGAAGUUUGUGUGCGAGAGAGAAGGCCCAUUCAUUAGGUACAGUUUUUAAAUGUGUUAGAAAGAAUAAAACAUAAUAGUAGAAUAUAUGCUAUGAGUCCAAACUCCGGACUAUUCAUACCCGGAAUUCGGCGACUCAACAGUUGACGCAUAUCUUGUUGAACCCGGAAUUCGGCGAUUGCACUGUCCAAAAGAUAUUUGAGUUGAGAAGAAUGCUUUAAUUGUUAUAAAGACUCAAAACAAGAUAUUCUAUAAAAAAACUAAUAAAUGCAAUAAAACUAAAAUGAGCAUUCACAGCAGUAGAAGCAACAAUUCUUCAAUAAUAUCCAAUAACACCAAGAUACAAGCUCUGGAUUCUGUGUUACAGCAGAGCUUUCAUUAUCUUAAGGGUAUUGUGUCAGAUUUUGAAGUACUCCAAAGUGAAUCGGAGAAUUACAAAACUCAGUUUGAAAUUCAAAAACAAAAGUGUGAAAGUGAAUCCUGUCCUAGUGCUGAAGCAUUGAAAAAAGUAAUAGAUACAAAAAACAAUAUCAUCGGAUUAGUUGCAUCAACAUUAACAAAACUAUAUGAAACAAAAAACUUUGACAUACUCACAGAAGCAUUUAAAAUACUAUACAAAUCCAAUACAACCAAUCCAGCAUUGCUUGAAACUGAGAAAUUGAGUCCAAUAGCAGAAUCAAGAGCUUGUAAUGAAAAGUUAAGAGAGGAUUCACUGAAUGAAAUAGAAAGCACUCCAACGGGAAGGAUCAGCCCCAUAAUACAGUCUAAGAAAGCCAAAUGUUCUUUGAAACUAGACUGUAGAGAUAAGAAGAAGUGCUCUGAGAAUUGGUCUACGCCAGAGAAAAAAGUUGUUAAACUAUCAUUCCCAACACCAACUAGAGCAAAAUCAGGUACCGUCGGCAGUGGAAGGUUGAGACAAGCAAGACUAAACAUAGUUAAUGUUAAACAGACUCAUGUAGUUGACCUCACUUCUUCGCCAGAGUUCUUCGGUGGGCUUAAGACGUCUAGAACUGAAAAUGAAUGUUUUCAGGCUUCGAUCAAAAGGGUGCCUACAGAGAAUGACGACACUAUCCAGCCCUCGCCCACCAGUGAGUCAACUAUGUUCGGAAUGAGUAAAUUAAAAACGAAAGAGAGUCCGCUAAAGUUGAAGAGACCGAAAUGUUUGUCGUUAAUUAAAAAAGAAAAUAUUUCAAAUAUCGAACGGGAGAAUAAUGAAAAUGAUUUAUUUAAAACGGAAACAGAAAUGGAACAUUCGAUUAAUAUUUUAAAUCCUUUGCCCCAAAGAUUUAUUAAAGAAAAUAAACCAUUAACACCAGUAAAGAUUGAGAAUGUUGAUGAAGACGCGACUCACUGUGAUACAGCAUUGAGCGGGUCUCUUCUACAAGAAGAUGCUGGUUGUGACGGCAACCCGACUGAUAGGUAAGAAAGAAGUAGCCGGUAAUCACUUACAUAUUAACAUUGUUGCAACAUCUUACGUAACUCAGUUGGACCUAACUUCACCACAAAGAUCAAAUGUAUUGUGAAUUGGAUGACAGAAGAUAUGUGUUUAUUUUAUUUGAUUUUCUUUAAUAAAGUAGGAAUAAAAGUAAAGUUUGUGUGAAGCAAUCAACUGUUUUAUUGGCACAAAUUGAAUAGAUCCCACAUUUUUUGUUGUUGUAAUAAACCAAACUUGGCUUCACCUCAUUCACUUUACUACUAGCUGUAUAUAAUUUUUUGCAUGUUAUUCUACUACAAGAAUCUAUUACAAAUAGUACUGUUUUCAAAAAUCAUUUGUAUGUGACAGUUUUUAUUGUUGUGUAUUUAAUUAUUUAAGUAUUUAAUUAAAAUGAUACAUAAAAUGAAAUAUUAGAUUGAAGUAUUCCAGAUAGUCUGUCGCACAAUUACGGCACAAUCGUAUUUAUAGUGAAAACCAAAACUAGAACUAUAACUAUAACUUAUAGUCAAUAAUAAUUUGCGCAGGAGUUGCCGCCCCUUUCAACAUGUCCUCCGCCUGAAGAACAAUAGAUCAAAGCGUGGCCAUCUUGUGUCUUUACCACUCCGACAAAUAAGAUGCGCCGGCGACAUGUUGCAGGGGGCGUGGUUUAACAGUCUUUGCACACGGCACUCGGAUCACCUGAUGUGACGUAAAAUCGUAUGAUUUCGGUGCUGCGUUGAGAUGUGCGAGUUGACUUGCCCACUCGCCACAAGAUGAAACAGUUAAAUUAGCUAGUGCAACUCUAUCUUGUUUUUAUCGGAAAACAUGCUCAUUGGUCCUUCCCACCUCCGCAUGAAGCAUUUAAUGCGUGCCUCAUUGAGAAAUAUUAAUAUUAUUUGUAGAAAACUCCCAGAAUUUGCGGAACCAAUGUACAAAGAACCGA